UACGUAGGUGGCAAGCGUUGUCCGGAAUUAUUGGGCGUAAAGCGCGCGCAGGCGGUCCUAUAAAUCUGAUGUGAAAGCCCACGGCUCAACCGUGGAGGGUCAUUGGAAACUGGGGGACUUGAGUGCAGAAGAGGAAAGCGGAAUUCCACGUGUAGCGGUGAAAUGCGUAGAGAUGUGGAGGAACACCAGUGGCGAAGGCGGCUUUCUGGUCUGUAACUGACGCUGAGGCGCGAAAGCGUGGGGAGCAAACAGG
rnacentral:rRNA from 1 species